UACGUAGGGGGCAAGCGUUGUCCGGAAUCAUUGGGCGUAAAGCGCGUGUAGGCGGCCCGAUAAGUCCGCUGUGAAAGUCCAGGGCUCAACCCUGGGAUGCCGGUGGAUACUGUCGGGCUAGAGUCCGGAAGAGGAGAGUGGAAUUCCUGGUGUAGCGGUGAAAUGCGCAGAUAUCAGGAAGAACACCAAUGGCGAAGGCAGCUCUCUGGGACGGUACUGACGCUGAGACGCGAAAGCGUGGGGAGCGAACAGG
rnacentral:rRNA from 1 species